AACACAUGCAAGUCGAACGAGAUCUUCGGAUCUAGUGGCGCACGGGUGAGUAACGCGUGGGAACCUACCUUUUAGUACGGGACAACGUUUGGAAACGAACGCUAAUACCGUAUACGCCCUCUGGGGGAAAGGUCAGCCGCUGAAAGAGGGGCCCGCGUCUGAUUAGCUUGUUGGUAAGGUAACGGCUUACCAAGGCAACGAUCAGUAGCUGGUCUGAGAGGAUGAUCAGCCACACUGGGACUGAGACACGGCCCAGACUCCUACGGGAGGCAGCAGUGGGGAAUAUUGGACAAUGGAGGCAACUCUGAUCCAGCAAUGCCGCGUGUGUGAUGAAGGCCCUAGGGUUGUAAAGCACUUUCAACGGUGAAGAUGAUGACGGUAGCCGUAGAAGAAGCCCCGGCUAACUUCGUGCCAGCAGCCGCGGUAAUACGAAGGGGGCGAGCGUUAUUCGGAAUUAUUGGGCGUAAAGGGCUCGCAGGCUGCUUGAACAGUUAGACGUGAAAUCCCCGGGCUUAACCUGGGAACUGCGUUUAAUACUAGCAAGCUAGAGAAAUAGAGA
rnacentral:rRNA from 1 species